GGCCCCGUAGCUCAACUGGAUAGAGCAUCAGUCUUCGGAACUGAGGGUUGCAGGUUCGAGUCCUGCCGGGGUCGCCA
rnacentral:tRNA from 1 species